CCUACGGGAGGCAGCAGUGGGGAAUAUUGGUCAAUGGGCGGGAGCCUGAACCAGCCAUUCCGCGUGCAGGAUGACGGCCCUAUGGGUUGUAAACUGCUUUUCUACGUGAAGAAACGCUCCAACGUGUUGGGGAUUGACGGUAGUGUAGGAAUAAGCAUCGGCUAACUCCGUGCCAGCAGCCGCGGUAAU
rnacentral:rRNA from 1 species